GUUGACUCCUAUUUUUGUGUAUUUGAGCGUAUAGCCGUAGCAUUGAAAUGGCCUGAAGAGGUUUGGUGCCUAUUACUUCAGUGUAAAUUAACUGGUAAAGCCCAAGAGGUUUUGUCAGCGCUACCUCUGGAGGACAGUUUGAAUUAUGAAGUGGUCAAAGCUACUGUUCUUCGUGCCUAUGAGCUUGUGCCUGAGGCAUACCGACAGAGAUUUAGGUCUCAUAGAAAGUCUUCUAGUAAGACUUAUGUGGAAUUUGCUAGAGACAAGGGAAAUCUGUUUGAUAAAUGGCAUGCUGCUAGUAAGGUAACUGAUUUCAACUCUCUCCGGGAGUUAAUCUUGUUGGAAGAGUUUAAAAAUUGCUUACCCAAACGCAUUGUAGUUUACCUAAACGAACAGAAAGUAUCCUCCCUGGCAGAAGCGUCUGUGUUGGCAGACGAGUUUGUGUUGACGCACAAGAGUGUGUUUUCGGCUCAAACUGAGAGUAGAGCCACUGAGUUUCCUACCUUUAGCCCUAGUCGUCCAGCAGUAGUAUGUCAAGCACGCCAGAAGAAUGAGCGUCGAUGUUUCUAUUGUCAUAAAGUAGGACAUAUGAUUAAUGAUUGCUUCCUGCUUAAACGCAAACAAGGGAUGCCUCUUCGUGCCAAGCCACCAACAGGUGUUGCUCUAAUUCGUACGGUUGUGAGGUCUGCAACAAAACAGGUGCCUCAGGGUAACUGUAGUUUGAAAGUCUCAGUCCCCGACCGCAGUUAUGAACCAUUCAUUUUCGAGGGGUUUGUGUCCCUAACGAAUGACGAAGCGUCUCAGCGUCCGGUUAAAAUCCUUAGAGAUACUGGUGCGGCGCAGUCGUUUAUAUUGUCUGAUGUGUUGCCCUUAUCUGAUGAUACAUACUGUGGUUCCAGUGUGUUAGUGCAGGGUAUUGAAAUGGGUUUUGUCCCAGUGCCAUUGCACUUUGUGAAAGUACACUCUGAGUUAAUCAGUGGAAUAUUCAGAGUGGGGGUACGCCCUAUGUUGCCAGUGAAAGGUGUGACCUUCAUAAUGGGUAACGAUAUUGCCGGAGGAAAUGUAGUACCCGUAUUGGAAGUAUUGGAUAAAAGUGACCACUCUCUCUCGAAUGAGCUGGCACAGAAUUAUCCACAUGUGUUCCCCGCUUGUGCUGUCACUCAUGCUCAGGCACGACAAGAGGGUGAUGAGAGAGAUUUGUCGAACACUGUUCUGUUCAAAGAGGUUGAUCAAGAGGAUGGAUUGUGUGAUACCUCUGAAAAGCAUGGACAGGUGCGCCCUGUUAAUGCCAAGGUCUUGGCUAUAACUGCAUUCCCUGCACCUACCACCAGACGAGAGCUACGCCGCUUUUUAGGGAUGGUUGGCUACUACCGUAGCUUCUGUAAAAAUUUCUCUGCGGUAGUUGCUCCAUUGACCGAUUUGCUUAGUCCGGCUAGAUCAUUUGAGUGGUCCCCUGAUUGUAAGAGAGCUUUUGAAUCAGCGAAAGCACUCUUAUGUAGUACACCUGUACUUGCUGCUCCUGAUUUUGAACAACCGUUCAAACUUGAGGUAGAUGCUAGUGCCAGAGGUGCUGGUGCUGUUCUACUGCAGCAGGACAAGAGUGGAGUGGAUCAUCCCGUUUGUUAUUUUUCACGUAAAUUUAAUAAAUGUCAAACAAACUAUGCGACAAUAGAACAAGAAGCUCUUGCUUUGUUGUUGGCUCUGCAAUACUUUGAAGUAUAUAUUGGUUCCAGUGCCCUACCCGUGAUUGUAUAUACUGACCAUAACCCCUUAGUUUUUCUCCACCGAAUGUACAACCAGAACCAGCGCCUUAUGCGUUGGGCGCUGAUUGUACAAAAUUAUAAUUUGGAGAUCCGCCACAAAAAGGGUUCUGAUAAUGUGUUGGCAGAUGCUUUGUCUCGUGUGUGAAAAUGAUUUCUGCAUGUUUUGCAAGGUUGUUGCUCUGUUGGGAGUAUUAAUUGAAAUACUGUAGUCGCAACCCCUAGGGUUGCUCUUUUAAGGGUGGGAGUGUUACGGAUACAGUUAUCCUGUGUGUGUGUGUGUAUCCUGUGUGUGUGUUUCUUUUCUCUCCUUCUCCCCUCACAGGUGAAAAUCAUCACUCCCCAAUCAAUCAUCAAUCAGAAGACACACCUCCUCAUAUUUCCUAAACCUAUCACAGUUCUUUCCCCAUGGUUUAAAAACCCCAUCAUUUGUUUGUUCUAGAGCUCAGCCCAGCCCAGCUCAGCUCAAUCUCUCUGUAAAUGCCAUGUCUGUAGGUCUCUGUGUUUCACUCUCGCUUUGUGUCGUAACCUCUCUUUUGUUUAAGCACCUCAUAGCACUUUGUCGUCACCUCAGGUAGAAUGGAUGGCAGUGGGAGUUUACUCUCUCGCCUGCUGAUUCCCAGAAGGCAGUCCGAUCUGUGUCUUUUCUUCACGCAAAUGACGGGGAUUUGGGCCUGUUCCUGGGAGAGCAGUAAAUGUUUUGGUACGCUUCCCCAGGUCUGUGCCUCGACACACUCUACAGACAAUUCCUUCGACCUCAUUGCUUGGUUUUUGUUCUGACAUGCACCGUCAUCUGUGGGACCUUAUACAAACAGGUGUGUGCCUUUCCAAAUCAUGUCCAAUCAAUUGAAUUUACCACAAAUAGACUCCAAUCAAGCUGUGGAAACAUCUCAAGGAUGAUCAAUGGAAAUGGAUGCACCUGAGCUCACCUGGGUCUGAAUACUUAUGUAAAUAAGGUAUUUCUGUAUUCAUUUCUUUUUAAAUUAGCAAACAUUUUGAAGAACCUGUUUUCGCUUUGUCAUUAUGGGGUAUUGUGUGUAGAUUGCUGAGGAUUUUCUAUUUUAUUUAAUCCAUUUUAGAAAAAGUCUGUAACCUAAAAAGUCAAGGGGUCUGAAUACUUUCCGAAGGCACUGUAUAAUUUGGGACGACAGUUUAUUUCUUUGGUCUGAAAGAACAGUGUAAAUUAGCUUGUAAAUGAUCAUUGUUGAUAAAUGAACAUCAUCAAUAUAAUUUUUACUUCUUCGAUCUCAGUGUUUACUUGUCCCUCAACUGACAACUCAACUGGCUACUCUACAGUGAGUUCAGUUCACAGUACAAUGCUAUGUCCUUCAGAGGGACUCUCGCUCUAAAAAUAGCUAUGUGUGUUGGUCUUUUCAUGGGACAGGCACGGACUCCUCACGGUACAGUUAGGUAUUUAUAUGACUAACAUACAUUUGGGAAAGUGGAGUGUGUCAGAUAGAUAGCUUGGUCUCUCCACCGCAGUAGGGUGCCCAGGCUUGUGGGACUGUAUUGUGUGUGUGUGUGUUAUACGCAGCAGGGUUUAUUAUAGGGCAAGAAGCUAUAGCUCAACACUGACUGACACACACACAUGUAUACACUCACACACAGUCUUGUCCUAGUUAUGACCACGUUUGUUAAGAUAACAAAGAUUGAAAAUGCAUAUCCUUUCAGUAUGUCUCCAUAGGUAUGCAAGACAUAAAUGUUACUGAUUUAUUUGAAACAUGUAAUAGAAGAGCAUAUUAGAUUUCCACUCCGUUCUGCCCUGUAGUGAUUGUCUUUGUUAGAACCCACAGUUUUCACCUAGCACCUAUAUUUUCCACAGCUUGUUAAUUAACACCUAUAUUUUCCACUAAGUGUAUUGCAAUGGUGGAGAGGAGAGAAAGAGAGGAAGUGAGAAAUAAAGAGCGAUUGAGGCAGGAGGCAGAGGGAGAGGAAGAGUGUGUGUGUGUGUGUGUGUGUGUGUGUGUGUGUGUGUGUGUGUGUGGAACACGAUAGUAGCACAGAGCUCUCCGUGGUGGUGUCGUUGUGUCCACCGUUCCUCUUCCCCUAUCCUUCCUCCCCUGUUCCUCUCCCCCUGCAUUCCUCUUCACUGCAAUCAGCUCCUCUGAAUCCCCCUGCUUCCUUGCCAAGGCACAUAUAAGUCACAGGGUUGCCACACAUACAGCCAUACACACACACACACACAGAUACGCAGAGACACACACUUACACCCAUACACACACACACCACACAGAGCUCCCCACACACUCCAUGUGCACAUUUGUUCAGCUGCGAGCUGCUUAUGAAGCUCUCCUAUCUGAAAUUAAGCUCACACCUUCAACGACAACAUUUCCUCACCACAAAGCUGAGCCAGCUUCCAGUCCAUAGAGUCUUACCAGAAAAAGCACCCAGAAAGGGAAAACAGAGAUGAAGAAACACAAAAGUAGAAGUUGAAGCAAGAAAACCUAAACUAGAAACAGAACCCUGUUAAGAUGGGCGGAGAGUGGAAUAUUCCCCCAGGGUGGACAUGUGUGCAUUUCAAGUCUAGGAAAAGGGAUGAAUAGGUAAAUAUGGCGGGAGUUUAGAGUUGGGAGAGCUUUGCUGAGGUGUGGCCUUGUGGUUACAGUGUCCGCCCUGAGAAUGGAAAGGUUGGGACUUUGAUCUAGAGGGCUGUAUCUUGGUCCCGAUAGAGAUCAUUGUGGGGUGGUCAGCAUUUUUUAUGCUGCGGGUAGGAGCGUUAGCCUACCUAUUGUAUUAAAAAAACCUCUGUCGCAUUAUACACACACUCUCAGAUUCACUGCAAGUUCAGUAGCCUACCUCUCCUCUCCAAGUUGGGCCUGAGUGAUCAAGUGCGCUUACAGUAUGUGUGGUCUCAAUGAAAUAGAGCAGGCUGCAUAGGCGGAGUUGGGCAUGCAAGAUCAGGUGAACGUUGUGUCUCAAUUAGGCCUAAAUAGAGUAGCCUAGGCUAUAGCAUAUGCAUGGGCGGAGAAGCACAGGACAGUUAUCUUUCCAAGGAAAUUAACUUCCUAAAUAUGAUUAGGUUAUAGUUUACUACAUCACCUAUAUUUGUCUCUGUCUGAAAAUUAUCCUGCUUCUGAAAGGUAAGCUAUAGGCAAAAUGUAGCUCAAAAUAAAGUGAAAGUAUUUCCUCUACUUCCAACUCUGCUCUCUUCAAACUACAUCUAGCCUUUUGGCUGAUAUAGCCCCGUAAUAUGAUAGCCUAAUAUAAUGGGCCAUGUGAGAAUCUCUGGUAAUUGAACCUAUUUCUUAGGUUAUAUUUGUACACUUUGAAAUUACCUAUAGAGCGCAAAAUAGCUGGCACAGUGGCUGGCAAGCGAGGCUCGUCAUAUACGCCUAAAGUAACAUUAGAGGACUGUAGGUGUGUUCCGGACCAGGUGUUGCAGGAUCCCUGUGACUGUAAAGUAUGGACUCAAUGCAUCUCUGCUAGGCAUUCAGAGUUAGGGAGAUACAGUAUAUUGGGUUAAGGCCCUGUGAUAGACUAGUGUCCUGUGUAUUUGGUGUAUUUGUACAUCAAGCUGCCUCACACUACAGAAACAAGAAAUAAACUCCAGCUCCUAUGAGACGUCCCGGCUCUCACAAGCCAAGGCUCGUUCAAAGGCUUGGUCUGUUGUUUUUAUGAAAAAGUUUUCAUUAUAUCAUUUUUAAUCAUUUUUAACCAUUGGAAGUUCUGAUAGCUAAGGAUUCCGCGACGAGGUUAGUUUUUUCGGCUGGUAACGCAAGUUCGUGUCUUGGAUUCCUGGAGAAAAGAAACAAAUUGGUAGCGGUUAGCCAUCACGCUAACAGAGCAAGAUAACGCUAGCAGUGCUAGAGUCAAAACACCAGUGGUAGGAGUCUACGUCUGCGCUCAAAUGUGCUAGAUUGUGAAAUUAUAUCCACGCAAGAGGAGGAAAAUAAGGUAGAACUGAUGACUGAACAUAAAUUCUUUGUCUGUUCUAAAUGUAUCAUCAUCAAUCAUAUAUGGCUGCUAGCUCAGCUGUAGGAUAAACAAGAUGUGCUUUUAAGUACUUUGAUGCAGCCCAGACACAUGGAAUUUCAGUUCUGAAUGCCUCAUACAGCCAAGGGGUUGAUAAGUUGGGCAAUACUGACCUGAUCCAAUCCACUGGACUGAUGGUAAGCUCAACUCCGUGGCCAGUGGGAGACUGGACACUGGCAAGGCGAAGGAGGUCGGGUGGGAGGCAGUCUGGUCAGCCUCCAUAUAUUAUAGUAGAUCAGAUCCAGCUAUUGAACAGCUUUGCCCCGCUGGAUGUGGACAUACCGGCCCCGGGAGUUAGCUCUCAUCCUGGGAGUACACCAACAGCCAGUAGCCAUCCAGGGGCACCCGCCACAGCUCAACCGAUCGCUGACCAAAAGAAACAAGGUCUUGGGGCCUCCUCCAUUUCUCUGAGGUUUCCGACGCCAUCCGCUGCUACUGGUACAUGUGCGGCGAGUCAGGCUGGUUCAAAGCACACCCCUCCCCCCAAGGCAGGCCCGUGCUGUUCCCUCUCUUCCUUCCCCAUCGGAUUCCAUCACAACCACCAUCGCCGUGGGCAGCUUGAUGGUGAGAGAUUUUGUCACCCAGGCGACAGUGUCCAAGACAUCAACUCCCUUCACCCCACAGAUCUAGCCAACUACUCUAACAUAGGCACCAUUAUCACUCACUUCAGAUUUAUUGACAUUGGCUUUUGGCAAUCUGAGUAACUGAAGAAGGACUACAACAUACUCUUGAACACCCUUGUUUUUACAGGGAAGCAACAGAGGACAUGGAAAUCGUAUUAUGUCGCAGAGAAAUAGAAGUGCAGGAAAUGUAAGUAACCUAAUCUAUGUUCCUUUAAUGCUACGAGGGUACUGUCUGCAAUACUCAUACGCACUGUCAAGAGUAGUAGGCUAAGGCCCAGUUCUCUGUGACAUUUUAGAGACACAUUUGCAUACACACACCCAAGCACUCACUCAUGACGAAGUUUUACUUUCACACACAAACGAAGCACAAAGAAGAAUGAACAUUAAGAGAGAGUGGACAUUGAAGACAGAAAAUAAGAGAAAUAAGUAAAAUAAAUAAAUUGGGACUGGAAUUUACCAAAAUAAUGUUUAAAGGUUAAAUAUGUUAAAUGUUAAAGUUUGAAAGCAUGGGGAAAUGUACAGUGGAAAAUUUUAUUGGAGUAAUGCAGUAAAGGGGAUGACAAUAUUAUAAUGUUGUUUGCAUUGAAAUAUGAUGAAUGUAGACAAUGUGUUUUAAGCCUAUAAGAACAAGGCCGUAGGGCCUGUAGGAGUUUGAUAAUGAAAGGUUGUAAUGAUGGGAUGUUUAACUUGUUGGAUAUCUAAGAGCUAAGGGGAGUAGUCAGUUAGGUUAGAGUAGGAUUGUAAUGGAGCCAAGUGGGGAAUGGUAAUAUUAAUGUUUAUUUAUGUUUCAAAAGAUAAGGUUUUAUUAACAUUAAGAGUGCUAGCCUGAAUUGGAAGUUGCCUGGUCUGAGCGGCUAGGAGGAGACAUCCUGUCAAGGUGGGCAUCCUGGGAGGAAAGGAGCGUUGUCCGCAUUAGGUGUUAACCACUGUAUGCGUCAUCGGAGUAGGUGUCAGUCAUGAUGAGUUAGCAGAAUGAAGAAUGGAGGGUAUAAAAGAGCUAUGAUUUUUGGGAGAUGGGCACUCUCUCUGAGCUUGCUAGGAAAACCUGUCGACUGCUGAAAGAAGAUUUUUGGUGUAGCUUUUUAGCCUAAAAUAUAUUUUGGGACUUAGCCUAGUGGUUAGAGCGUUGGACUAGUAACCGGAAGGUUGCAAGUUCAAACCCCUGAGCUGACAAGGUACAAAUCUGUCGUUCUGCCCCUGAACAGGCAGUUAACCCACUGUUCGUAGGCCGUCAUUGAAAAUAAGAAGUUGUUCUUAACUGACUUGCCGAUUUGAAUAAAGGUAAAACAUUUUUUAAAAGAUUUUUAUACUCUGUUAAAGUAAAAUUCUAGGUCUCCCGAGUGGUGCAGUGGUCUAAGGCACUGCAUCACAGUGUUAGAGGUGUGACUACAGACCCAGGUUUGAUCCCAGGCUGUGUUGCAGCCGGCUGCGACCGGGAGACCCAUGAGGCGGCGCACAAUUGGCUCGGUGUCAUCCGGGUUAGAGGAGAGUUUGGCCGGCUGGUGUUUCCUCCGACACAUUGGUGCAGCUGGCUUCUGGUUUACGCGAGCAGUGUGUCAAGAAGCAGUGUGGCUUGGCAGGGCCGUGUUUUGCAGGACACAUGGCUCUUGGCCUUUGCCUCUCCCGAGUCCAUAUGGGAGUUGCAGCUAUGGGAGAAGACUAACUGCUAAUUGGAUAUCACAAAGAAGGGGGGGGACUAUUACAAUUCUAGGAGGAAUCCUUAAGGUUACCUCAUAGAACGAAGGUUUGGUAAAAUAGUUGUUUGAGUUUUAGACGUCGUCUUAGAGUCUGAUUAUCCUUAGGGGGAGCCAAAAAAACUGUUUAUAUAGUUGUAGAAGGUAAGAAACGCUUUUUAUUUUUAAAUAUUGUGCCUCUCAUAAAAUUGUAAGAAAGGAUGACUUUCACUUCAGCAGCAAUAAAUUCAUGAACUUCUUUGAGGAAAAUAUCAUGAUCAUUAGAAAGCAAAUUACGGACUCCUCUUUAAAUCUGAGUAAUCCUCCAAAGCUCAGUUGUCCUGAGUCUGCACAACUCUGCCAGGACCUAAGAUCAAGGGAGACUCAAGUGUUUUAGUGCUAUAUCUCUUGACACAAUGAUGAAAAUAAUCAUGGCCUCUAAAACUUCAAGCUGCAUACUGGACCCUAUCCCAACUAAACUACUGAAAGAGCUGCGUCCUGUGCUUGGCCCUCCUAUGUUGAACAUAAUAAACGGCUGUAUCAAACUCACUAAAAGUGGCAGUAAUAAAGCCUCUCGAAUCUAUAUCGAAUCUUCCAUUCCUCUCAAGAAAGGUUGAAAAAGCUGUUGCGCAGCAACUCACUGCCUUCCUGAAGACAAACAAUGUAUACGAAAUGCUUCGGUCUGGUUUUAGACCCCAUCAUAGCACUGAGACGGCACUUGUGAAGGUGAUAAAUCCACCUUUCAAUGGAGUCAGACCGAGGCUCUGCAACUGUCCUCGUGCUCCUAGACCUUAGUGCCGUGUUUGAUACCAUCAAUCACCACAUUCUUUUGGAGAGAUUGGAAACCCAAAUUGGUCUACACGGACAAGUUCUGGCCUGGUUUAGAUCUUAUCUGUCGGAAAGAUAUCAGUUUGUCUCUGUGAAUGGUUUGUCCUCUGACAAAACCUUGUUCCUCAAGGUUACGUUUUAGAACCACUAUUGUUUUCACUAUAUAUUUUACCUCUUGGGGAUGUCAUUCGAAAACAUAAUGUUAACUUUCACUGCUAUGCGGAUGACACACAGCUGUACAUUUCAAUGAAACAUGGUGAAGCCCCAAAAUUGCCCUCGCUAGAAGCCUGUGUUUCAGACAUAAAGAAGUGGAUGGCUGCAAACUUUCUACUUUUAAACUCGGACAAAACAGAGAUGCUUGUUCUAGGUCCCAAGAAACGAAGAGAUCUUCUGUUGAAUCUGACAAUUAAUCUGAUGGUUGUACAUUCGUCUCAAAUAAAACUGUGAAGGACCUCGGCAUUAGCCUGGACCCUGAUCUCUCUUUUGACGAACACAUCAAGACUGUUUCAAGUACAGCUUUUUUCCCCAUCUACGUAACAUUGCAAAAAUCAGAAACUUUCUGUCCAAAAAUGAUGCAGAAAAAUUAAUCCAUGCUUUUGUUACUUCUAGGUUAGACUACUGCAAUGCUCUACUUUCCAGCUACACAGAUAAAGCACUAAAUAAACUUCAGUUAGUGCUAAAUACGGCUGCUAGAGUCCUGACUAGAACCAAAAAAAUUGAUCUUAUUACUCCAGUGCUAGCCUCCCUACACUGGCUUCCUGUUAAGGCAAGGGCUGAUUUAAUGGUUUUACUGUUAACCUAAAGCAUUACAUGGCCUUCUCCUACCCAUCUCUCCGAUUUGGUCCUGCCGUACAUACCUACACGUACGCUACGGUCACAAGAUGCAGGCCUCCUAAUUGUCCCUAGAAUUUCUAAGCAAACAGCUGGAGGCAGGGUUUUCUCCUAUAGAGCUUCAUUUUUAUGGAAUGGUCUGCCUACCCAUGUGAGAGACGCAGACUCGUUCUCAAUCUUUAAGUCUUUACUGAAGACUCAUCUCUUCAGUAGGCCAUAUGAUUGAGUGUAGUCUGGCCCAGGAGUGUGAAGGUGAACGGAAAGGCUCUGGAGCAACGAACCGCCCUUGCUGUCUCUGCCGGCCGGGUCCCCUCUCUCCACUGGAAUUCUCUGCCUCUAACCCUAUCACAGGGGCUUAGGGGUGCGUCACUUGAGUGGGUUGAGUCACUGACGUGGUCUUCCUGUCUGGGUUGGCUUCCCCCCCUUGGGUUGUGUCGUGGCGCAGAUCUUUGUGGGCUAUACUCGGCCUUGUCUCAGGAUGGUAAGUUGGUGAUUGAAGAUAUCCCUCUAGUGGUGUGGGGGCUGUGCUUUGGAAAAGUGGGUGGGGUUAUAUCCGGCCUGUUUGGCCCUGUCUGGGGGUAUCAUCGGAUGGGGCCAUCGGAUGGGGUCUCCUGACCCCUUCUGUCUAAGCCUCCAGUAUUUAUGCUGCAGUAGUUUGUGUCGGUGGGCUAGGGUCAGUCUGUUAUAUCUGGAGUAUUUCUCCUGUCUUAUCCAGUGUCCUGUGUGAAUUUAAGUAUGCUCGCUCUAAUUUUGUCUCUCUCUCUCUCGGAGGACCUGAGCCCUAGGACCAUGCGUUAGGGCUACCUGGCAUGAUGACUCCUUGCUGUCCCCAGUCCUGGCCUUGCUGUCCCCAGUCCUGGCCGUGCUGCUGCUCCAGUUUCAACUGUUCUGCCUGCGGCUAUUGAACCCUGACAUGUUCACCGGACGGGCUACCUGUCCCAGACAUGCAGUUUUCAACUCUCUAGAGACAGCAGGAUUGGUAGAGAUACUCUCAAUGAUUGGCUAUGAAAAGCCCACUGACAUUUACUCCUGAUGUGCUGACUUGUUGCACCCUCGACAACUACUGUGAUUAUUAUUAUUUGACCAUGCUAGUCAUUUAUGAACAUUUGAACAUCUUGGCCAUGUUCUGUUAUAAUCUCCACCCGGCACAGCCAGAAGAGGACUGGCCACCCCGUAUAGCCUGGUUCCUCUCUAGGUUUUGGUCUUUCUAGUUUUUCCUAGCCACCUUGUUUCUACACCUGCAUUGCUUGCUGUUUGGGGUUUUAGGCUGGGUUUCUGUACAGCACUUUGAUAUAUCAGCUGAUGUAAAUAAAUUUGAUUUGAAAAAAAUAAAUACAUUUGAUAAUAGACAAAAACGUUUUAUUGGCACUCCCCAACAGGGGUAUAGUUAAGGGCACUGAAGGUGGUCUAUCAAUUUAUUUUACUGUACAUUUUUGCUCAUCAUUAAUUUGUGAUAUUGAUUUGUGAUUGAUCGACUUAUUUGUGAUGUUUUAUGCCCGUUUCUGGAAUUUUGAAUAAACGUGCUAUAUUGUU